rnacentral:rRNA from 1 species
GAUGAACGCUGGCGGCGUGCCUAAUACAUGCAAGUCGAGCGAACGGACGAGAAGCUUGCUUCUCUGAUGUUAGCGGCGGACGGGUGAGUAACACGUGGAUAACCUACCUAUAAGACUGGGAUAACUUCGGGAAACCGUAGCUAAUACCGGAUAAUAUUUUGAACCGCAUGGUUCAAAAGUGAAAGACGGUCUUGCUGUCACUUAUAGAUGGAUCCGCGCUGCAUUAGCUAGUUGGUAAGGUAACGGCUUACCAAGGCAACGAUGCAUAGCCGACCUGAGAGGGUGAUCGGCCACACUGGAACUGAGACACGGUCCAGACUCCUACGGGAGGCAGCAGUAGGGAAUAUUCCGCAAUGGGCGAAAGCCUGACGGAGCAACGCCGCGUGAGUGAUGAAGGUCUUCGGAUCGUAAAACUCUGUUAUUAGGGAAGAACAUAUGUGUAAGUAACUGUGCACAUCUUGGCGGUACCUAAUCAGAAAGCCACGGCUAACUACGUG